rnacentral:rRNA from 1 species
UUAGAGUUUGAUCCUGGCUCAGGAUGAACGCUGGCGGCGUGCUUAACACAUGCAAGUCGAACGGUGAAGCCCAGCUUGCUGGGUGGAUCAGUGGCGAACGGGUGAGUAACACGUGAGCAACCUGCCCCUGACUCUGGGAUAAGCGCUGGAAACGGCGUCUAAUACUGGAUAUGUGACGUGACCGCAUGGUCUGCGUCUGGAAAGAAUUUCGGUUGGGGAUGGGCUCGCGGCCUAUCAGCUUGUUGGUGAGGUAAUGGCUCACCAAGGCGUCGACGGGUAGCCGGCCUGAGAGGGUGACCGGCCACACUGGGACUGAGACACGGCCCAGACUCCUACGGGAGGCAGCAGUGGGGAAUAUUGCACAAUGGGCGCAAGCCUGAUGCAGCAACGCCGCGUGAGGGAUGACGGCCUUCGGGUUGUAAACCUCUUUUAGCAGGGAAGAAGCGAAAGUGACGGUACCUGCAGAAAAAGCGCCGGCUAACUACGUGCCAGCAGCCGCGGUAAUACGUAGGGCGGCAAGCGUUAUCCGGAAAUUAUUGGGCGUAAAGAGCUCGUAGGCGGUUUGUCGCGUCUGCUGUGAAAUCCCGAGGCUCAACCUCGGGCCUGCAGUGGGUACGGGCAGACUAGAGUGCGGUAGGGGAGAUUGGAAUUCCUGGUGUAGCGGUGGAAUGCGCAGAUAUCAGGAGGAACACCGAUGGCGAAGGCAGAUCUCUGGGCCGUAACUGACGCUGAGGAGCGAAAGGGUGGGGAGCAAACAGGCUUAGAUACCCUGGUAGUCCACCCCGUAAACGUUGGGAACUAGUUGUGGGGUCCAUUCCACGGAUUCCGUGACGCAGCUAACGCAUUAAGUUCCCCGCCUGGGGAGUACGGCCGCAAGGCUAAAACUCAAAGGAAUUGACGGGGACCCGCACAAGCGGCGGAGCAUGCGGAUUAAUUUCGAUGCAACGCGAAGAACCUUACCCAAGGCUUGACAUAUACGAGAACGGGCCAGAAAUGGUCAACUCUUUGGACACUCGUAAACAGGUGGUGCAUGGUUGUCGUCAGCUCGUGUCGUGAGAUGUUGGGUUAAGUCCCGCAACGAGCGCAACCCUCGUUCUAUGUUGCCAGCACGUAAUGGUGGGAACUCAUGGGAUACUGCCGGGGUCAACUCGGAGGAAGGUGGGGAUGACGUCAAAUCAUCAUGCCCCUUAUGUCUUGGGCUUCACGCAUGCUACAAUGGCCGGUACAAAGGGCUGCAAUACCGCGAGGUGGAGCGAAUCCCAAAAAGCCGGUCCCAGUUCGGAUUGAGGUCUGCAACUCGACCUCAUGAAGUCGGAGUCGCUAGUAAUCGCAGAUCAGCAACGCUGCGGUGAAUACGUUCCCGGGUCUUGUACACACCGCCCGUCAAGUCAUGAAAGUCGGUAACACCUGAAGCCGGUGGCCUAACCUUUUUGGAGGGAGCCGUCGAAGGUGGGAUUGGUAAUUAGGACUAAGUCGUAACAAGGUAACC